rnacentral:rRNA from 1 species
AUACGUAGGUGGCGAGCGUUAUCCGGAAUCAUUGGGCGUAAAGAGGGAGCAGGCGGUGAUAAAGGUCUGGAGGUGAAGGCCCGAAGCUAAACUUCGGGAUGCCCCGGAAACCGGGUCACUUGAGUGCGGAAGUGGAUCGUGGAAUUCCAUGUGUAGCGGUGAAAUGCGUAGAUAUAUGGAGGAACACCGGUGGCGAAGGCGACGGUCUGGGCCGAAACUGACGCUCAUUCCCGAAAGCGUGGGGAGCAAAUAGGAUUAGAUACCCUAGUAGUCCACGCCGUAAACGAUCGAUACUAAGUGUCGGGCUUCAAGGCCCGGUGCUGCAGCCAACACAUUAAGUAUCGCGCCUGAGUAGUACGUUCGCAAGAAUGAAACUCAAAUGAAUUGGCGGGG